GAAGGGCAAGGACCAAUAUUUAAAGGCAUCUGGAAUUAAAGCUAGAGGAAACCUAAUUUUAAGACAUUAAUUUCUCACUCUUUCUUUCUCUCCCUUGCCUUCCCAACAAAUUAUUUUUUAUUUCAGGCAGCCACAGUAAAGUUAUUCAAAUCAUUGAUAAAAAGUGUUGCACAGCUAUAUAUUUUGCAAUUGAUUCUUACCCUGAGCUCACAAUGCUCUCUGUUGACAGCAUCGCAGAAUAUGAAAUGAAGAAUUGAUUUCAUCCCCAAACUUAUCUGUGUCUUUAAAUAUAGCCCCUCCUUUAGAUCAUUACUGAAAAAAAUAUAUUAAAACAUAUAAAUGUUGGAGUUUAGUAUCCUAUUGAUGAUCACGGAAGCUGUGUAUUGAUUCUCAGCAAAAUGUAUUUAAAUUGCCAAUGGUAAAAGUUUUACUAAGAUUUAAAAAAAAAAAACAACCUGCAUUCUCAGCAUUUCUCUCUCAGAUAUGCCUUGAGGAGUGAGAUUUUUGUUCAUUUAUGGUUAGCUCUUCAGCUCAACUGUAGCUUUUCUGUCCAGCCCUAUUGGGUUUUCUUCCUGGUAAUAAAAAUGAUGCAAAACUUGAGGAAUGAAUACUCACAAGGGACUGAAUGAAUGAGGAGAUGAUAGAGGCAGAGUGCUCUCCUGUCGACUCCUGUUCUGCAGCUCCCCGAGAAGCGUAAGUAUCUCUAACAGGUGGCCGCACUGAUGCCUCUCAGCCUACAGUUUGAUGCCUUGUAGCUUUCUUCCUGGCUGAGAAAUGUCACAGAUGGAAAUGAGCAGUUUCAUCUCUUCCUGCCAGCUGUACAGUGAUCAUGUGGUGGCAAUCACUCCAGCCUGCCUGGGACUAUGGAGUAGAAGUUGCAUGGGAGUAUUCCCAGAUGGAAGCUGAAACUGUGAAUCAAGCAUCAGCCAUUGCGAUAAUUCCAAGACGAUAUGCCUCCUGAGGAGAUGUGCGGGAACAGAAUGGUGCCGAGAAGGGAACGCCGAAGCCACACAACACGUACACACACACCAUGUGAUGUCCAGUUCCACAAAUAAGACUGAGCCGUUACUGCUCCUGGUGCGUUGAUAACUCUGAAUUGCAAGUGCUGGAAAUAAUUUUAAUCUACAUAGUUUUAAAAGAGAGGGGGCUUUUAAAUAUGCUGCAAACAAUUUGUGAUGGUCAUCUCUAAAAUGCCGUUCCAUUAUCCUUUUCCAUUUGGAAUGAAUGAGGCUAAUUAAUUUCAGGCCAUACUUGAUGAGGUCAGCACCAUGUGAAGGGUGCGUGCUAGACAUUGCUAAUCUCUUUCAGCUGAGAGUGAUGAAUUAAAGAUGAAGCAUGCCUUUGCAGGCCUAAUUUAGAAUGUAUAUCAAAAACCUACAGCAAAUAAUACUAUACCCUACAACAAAGGAAAACUUGUUCUCUCAGGCUCCCAUGUAGUGUUGAUUUUAAAGCCAUUUUCAUUUCACUUUGGAAUUCCAGCUGUGGAUGGGUGAAACAGUUCAGAGAAAUCAAGCUUUCUCAGCCUGCGUGGACAAAGUGAUGGUGGGGGGAAGAACUAGUCAGUGUUUGAUCCUGUAUGUAUUGUGAUUCUAACUGUAUGCACUACAUUUAGUAAAGCUGUCAGAGUCCUGCAUUCCCCAAGUGAAUAGUCCCUGUGACAUAUUACCCCUGUGCACCAAAGGAGUUUUCCUAAUAUAUUUUGAAGUCUAAAGGAAAAGCAAUAAAUUUGUUAAUGAUGGUUCUUA